UCUUCUUCUCUUCCCUUCACCGCCAAGCAUUUUGAAGACAAAUUCUCAUCCAACUUCCAUUCUUUUCCUUCUUCAAUUUGCAGAGAACAUUUAAGAGAGAUUUUGGAAGAAUAAGAGGAAUUUUACUAGAAUUUUGAGGUUGAAGAAGAGGAGGAGAACUCAAGCAAAGUGUAUCCAUGGCUGAAUUUUAGUUCAUUCUGCACAUCACUGGUUUGUAAUUCGGUUUGAACUCUUCAAAAGGAAUUAAGAGGGCAGUUGGUUUUCACUCGAAAUCAAAAGGUCUCUGGUUUUUCUUAUAUUUCAGAGUGUACCGGUGAAGUUAGAAUCUCUAUUUGUUAAAUUGUAGGGAAAAGUUAAAGAGGUCGUGUGCGCGCGAUUCUAGAAGUGGUUCUGUUUCGAGGGUUAUCUGAGCUUAUGCAUGGGGAAUUAGAUUUACAUGUCUUCAGGCCGAGAAGAAUUAAAUUGAGCUUAUAGACUAAGGAUCUAGCCCAAGACGAAGUAAUCGUUAAUGAAUAGGGCUGCUAGAGCAAAGCAGCCUUACAACCAUAGCAGUGGUGCCAAGUUGUUUCUAUAGCGAUAAUAGGAGCUCGCUGAACAGCUGGGUCAUCUAGUCGACUGUGUGGAGUUAUUAAGGUAAACACACACUCGGGGUGGCUAGUUUGUUUCGCAGGCAGCUGUAGAUGUGCAUAAUCAAAUGUUGGAACUCCAGUCCCAACAAACCUAGAGGGUUCUCAACCACUCUUUGGGGACGAGAUAUACGAGACCAUUUUGGAUAGACGAUCGGGCUACUAAAAAGGUCUUAGUUAGGGCUCCAAGCCAAAGUCGAGACAUGCUGUUGGCAGUUCUUUAUCUACAUCUGUCGAGCGAUAGUUGGAGGUUAACAAGCUAGAAACUCAUCUUGAGGUAUUAGAAGAAGAGAGUAACAGGAAGCACGAAGAAAGUACUCACCUCAUAGAAGCACAGGCUCGCCAUGUGGAAGAACAGGUUGCCAUAUGGAAGAAAUGAGGAAGAUGAUUGAUGACCUCUUCCGCGCUUUGAGAGAGCCUUGAUUUCAUUCAGGUUCGAAUGCAUGAGGAACUUUCAUGGGACACUGGUCCUUAGAUUAUGUGUUUAGUUUUCUAUUUUUAGUUUAAGUUUUUUGUUUUCAUUAUGUAUGUAACUUUUGAACAACGAACGUGUAUUUUUGAAUUAUUUUUAAUAUGAAUUUCAUUUGGCAUUUCAUUA